rnacentral:rRNA from 1 species
CAACGAGCGCAACCUUGUCUUAUGUUGCCAGCACGUGAUGUGGGGACUCGUAAGAGACUGCCGGGGUCGAACUCGGAGGAAGGUGGGGACGACGUCAAGUCAUCAUGCCCCUUAUGUCCAGGGCUUCACACAUGCUACAAUGGCCAGUACAGAGGGCUGCGAGACCGUGAGGUGGAGCGAAUCCCUUAAAGCUGGUCUCAGUUCGGAUCGGGGUCUGCAACUCGACCCCGUGAAGUCGGAGUCGCUAGUAAUCGCAGAUCAGCAACGCUGCGGUGAAUACGUUCCCGGGCCUU